AAGAAUUCUCAUGAUCAAACAAAUUUUUAGAAAAAAAGACAAAUGCAUGGUUCAAAUCUUUGAAAGCACAAACAAAGUGGUGUUUACUAUUAUCCUAUCAUCAAACCAUGAUCAUGAAACAAGUUCUAAACACAAAACUCAUGCCAUACAUUCCAAGGUAACACAUGUUCAAUCAUGAAUCAUACCUAGCACACUUUUCAUCAAUGGAUG
rnacentral:lncRNA from 1 species